rnacentral:rRNA from 1 species
UACGUAGGGACCAAGCGUUGUUCGGAUUUACUGGGCGUAAAGGGCGCGUAGGCGGCGUGACAAGUCACUUGUGAAAUCUCCGGGCUUAACUCGGAACGGCCAAGUGAAACUGUCAUGCUAGAGUGCAGAAGGGGCAAUCGGAAUUCUUGGUGUAGCGGUGAAAUGCGUAGAUAUCAAGAGGAACACCUGAGGUGAAGACGGGUUGCUGGGCUGACACUGACGCUGAGGCGCGACAGCGUGGGGAGCAAACAGG